rnacentral:rRNA from 1 species
GACGAACGCUGGCGGCGUGCUUAACACAUGCAAGUCGAACGGAAAGGCCCCCAUCUUGGUGGGGGUGCUCGAGUGGCGAACGGGUGAGUAACACGUGGGUGAUCUGCCCUGUACUUCGGGAUAAGCUUGGGAAACUGGGUCUAAUACCGGAUAGGACCAUGGUUUAGUGUCUCAUGGUGGAAAGAUUAUUGUUUUGGUGCAGGAUGAGCUCGCGGCCUAUCAGCUUGUUGGUGGGGUAAUGGCCUACCAAGGCGUCGACGGGUAGCCGGCCUGAGAGGGUGGACGGCCACAUUGGGACUGAGAUACGGCCCAGACGCCUACGGGAGGCAGCAGUGGGGAAUAUUGCACAAUGGGCGCAAGCCUGAUGCAGCGACGCCGCGUGGGGGAUGACGGCCUUCGGGUUGUAAACUCCUUUCGUUAGGGACGAAGCCACGCUUGUUGGGUGUGGUGACGGUACCUUUGUUAAGAAGCACCGGCUAACUACGUG